rnacentral:rRNA from 1 species
CCUACGGGAGGCAGCAGUGAGGAAUAUUGGUCAAUGGACGAGAGUCUGAACCAACCAAGUAGCGUGAAGGAUGACUGCCCUAUGGGUUGUAAACUUCUUUUAUAUGGGAAUAAAAUGUUCCACGUGUGGGAUUUUGUAUGUACCAUAUGAAUAAGGAUCGGCUAACUCCGUGCCAGCAGCCGCGGUAAUACGGAGGAUCUGAGCGUUAUCCGGAUUUAUUGGGUUUAAAGGGAGCGUAGGUGGAUUGUUAAGUCAGUUGUGAAAGUUUGCGGCUCAACCGUAAAAUUGCAGUUGAAACUGGCAGUCUUGAGUACAGUAGAGGUGGGCGGAAUUCGUGGUGUAGCGGUGAAAUGCUUAGAUAUCACGAAGAACUCCGAUUGCGAAGGCAGUUCACUGGACUGCAACUGACACUGAGGCUCGAAAGUGUGGGUAUCAAACAGGAUUAGAUACCCUUGUAGUC